rnacentral:ncRNA from 1 species
UUGGGAGAAAAUUAGAAAUUCUCAGUGUACCUUUCUAUUUCCAGCAAUGAACUGCCAUGGAAGGCAGUUCAAAUCCCCGACAAGCCAGGGAUGGCUUGUUUGGGGUGGUUGCGUCAAAUAAGAAAAACUUUAAAUAAGGUACACAUAGAAUUUCUUAUUUUUG